ACGAAAAAUUAAAGGCCGCACAUUUGUCAUUGGAAACAUCUGCAUAAGAGACACAUAAGAUCCAACAAAUAAGGGCAAAGCAACCGAUUUAUUUAGUAAUGGAGUUUCCUAUUCCUUCACUUAUCCUGGGUUUAACCUCUGUUUUAAGUGUCCACGAUUCAAAACCGCACAGAGAAAAAAAAGUUUUGUAUAAGGAUUGAUUUAAAUGGUUAGAGGAUGAGGAUAAACGCGACGCUAUCUUUAAUGCAGACAUUUGUUUUCCGAUUUUACCUUGGGGAAAGUCGGA